rnacentral:rRNA from 1 species
UCCUACGGGUGGCUGCAGUGGGGAAUAUUGGGCAAUGGGCGCAAGCCUGACCCAGCGACGCCGCGUGAGGGAAGACAGCCUUCGGGUUGUAAACCUCUGUUGCAGGGGAAGAAGGAAGUGACGGUACCCUGCGAGGAAGCUCCGGCUAACUACGUGCCAGCAGCCGCGGUAAUACGUAGGGAGCGAGCGUUGUCCGGAAUUACUGGGCGUAAAGGGCGCGUAGGCGGCGCUUCAAGUCGUCUGUCAAAAGCCGAGGCUCAACCUCGGUGCGCAGACGAAACUGGAGAGCUUGAGAAGCAGAGAGGCAAACAGAAUUCCUGGUGUAGCGGUGAAAUGCGUAGAUAUCAGGAAGAAUACCAGUGGCGAAGGCGGUUUGCUGGCUGCAUACUGACGCUGAAGCGCGAAAGCCAGGGGAGCAAACGGGAUUAGAUACCCU